UUCGAUUCCGGAGAGGGAGCCUGAGAAACGGCUACCACAUCCAAGGAAGGCAGCAGGCGCGCAAAUUACCCAAUCCCGACACGGGGAGGUAGUGACAAUAAAUAACAAUACGGGGCUCAUUUGGGUCUCGUAAUUGGAAUGAGUACAAUUUAAAUCCCUUAACGAGGAACAAUUGGAGGGCAAGUCUGGUGCCAGCAGCCGCGGUAAUUCCAGCUCCAAUAGCGUAUAUUAAAGUUGUUGCAGUUAAAAAGCUCGUAGUUGAACUUCGGGGUCUACCCAUUGGUCAGGCUUAAUUGUCUGCACUGGUGAGAUGGAUCUCUACCUUCUGAGGAACUUUCAUGCCAUUUAUUUGGUGUGAUGGGAAAUCAGGACUGUUACUUUGAAAAAAUUAGAGUGUUUAAAGCAGACUAUCGUCUGAAUACAUUAGCAUGGAAUAAUGAAAUAGGACGGACUGAUUCUAUUUCGUUGGUUUCUAGGAUCACCGUAAUGAUUAAUAGGGAUAGUUGGGGGCAUUAGUAUUCAAUUGUCAGAGGUGAAAUUCUUGGAUUUAUUGAAGACUAACUACUGCGAAAGCAUUUGCCAAGGAUGUUUUCAUUAAUCAAGAACGAAAGUUAGGGGAUCGAAGACGAUCAGAUACCGUCGUAGUCUUAACCAUAAACUACGCCGACUAGGGAUCGGACGAAGUUAAUUUUAUAAUGACGCGUUCGGCACCUUACGGGAAA
rnacentral:rRNA from 1 species